GUCCUAAAAUAAUAGUCCAUAGACAAAAAACACACAAUUUAAGAAAACAUUAAUUACCAUUAACUUUAUUAAAUGAAAUGACAGUCUUACCCUUCUGUUGUAUUUAAUUUCAUGGUAGUUGCAUUUAAUUUUAUGGUAAUUUAACUAAUAAUGAGGGGUAUUAUGGUAAAAGAAAUAUUUAUUUUUAAAAAUAGAAAAUUAUUUUGGGAGAUGGUUAUCACACCUGAUUCCUUCCUUAAUCCUUAUUUUUCUGAGGACUUCGUCCUUAAGAAUCUUUCUGAUUUCACAUCAUCAUUUCCAUAACAUCGCUUCCUGAUUAAUCCGACGAACAUGUUUUUCGUUAUAUUUCUCAGGUUCAAGUUGAUACAUUUCUUGAUCAUAUCCCGUCCACGACCAUCGUUCCAUUGAAUGGGUUCACCAUACACCUAAUUUCACGCCCAUGGCUUGUCCGUAAAGAUGUCUACACUGCAGCAUUUGUCGCUUCCAUCACUCUUAUAGAUUACUUGUCCAGGGGAAUUGUGAAAGGUUAACUUCCACCCACGAGGUGUUCGGCAUAAUGCCAGGAAAUCAAGAAAAUAUGAGGAAACUACAACAACAGUGUGAGAUAAAGAAGCAAUCUUUUCCAUUAGUUGGAAUCGAUAUGGGUAAAAGAAGGUCAUUUGGGUGUUGCUCGAAGGUGGAACUAACAAAUUUCUCCAUAUUUAAUGGCGUCCAAGUGGUGUCAAUUGACAUGUCUCCAUUCAUGCAAAUUCAUGAUGUGGAUAUAACAAGAAAGACAUAUGAUAGCUUGGAAAAAUUCGCUGCAAAGAUGUUUGCUUUAUUUCCCAAGAAGAUAAAUAUUAAGCUUUUAUGACCCUUAAUUUCUUACUAAUUUUGCAUAAAUAUUUUGUGAUUUUUGGUGGGGUUAUUACCAACUAUUGUCAUGAUUUUGAUGUUUCUUUAUUGUUACAUAUUUGAACUGAUUUAUGAUGGCAUGCCCUACUCGUUAAUUAACCAGUUAAGUUAUUAUCUAAUAUUUUUUCAAAAUUUUUAAUGAUUUUGGGUCAUCUUGUUAAAUAUAUAUAUUUUUUAAAUUUUAUUUGUAUUCUUUUAAUGUAGCUUCUGGACAACAUUGAAGAACUCUUCUUUUUUGGUUGCAUGAGAUAGCAUUUGGCAUAUAACAAGACAUACUACAAUGACAACAAAAGUUCUACAGCUGGAAGGGUUUUAGAUGCCUUUAGGGAGGUGGCUUAGGAUCGAUAGAAUUUAUUAUCUAAUGUAAUUAUUUUUUGUAAAAGGUUUUUUUAGAUGUACUUCAUUUAUGAUUGGGAUGUUAUAGUUACCAAAAUGAAUGGAUUAGAUUGUAUGACAA